GCUGGAGGUAUCACGAGUGCGAAUGCUGACAUGAGUAACGAUAAAGGGAGUGAAAAACUCCCUCGCCGGAAGACCAAGGGUUUCUGUUCGACGCUAAUCGGAGCAGAGUGAGUCGGCCCCUAAGGCGAGGCCGAAAGGCGUAGUCGAUGGGAAACAGGUCAAUAUUCCUGUACCGGACAUGAUUGCGAUGGGGGGACGGAGAAGGCUAGGUGAGCCAGGCGUUGGUUGUCCUGGUGAAAGUGAGUAGGCUGGUAUCUUAGGUAAAUCCGGGAUGCCUUAAGGCCGAGACACGAAACGAACUGACUACGGUCAGGAAGUCAUUGAUGCCACGCUUCCAGGAAAAGCCUCUAAGCUUCAGAUCAUGUGCGACCGUACCCCAAACCGACACAGGUGGUCAGGGUGAGAAUCCCAAGGCGCUUGAGAGAACUCGGGUGAAGGAACUAGGCAAAAUGGUGCCGUAACUUCGGGAGAAGGCACGCCGGCGUAGGGUGACGAGACUUGCUCUCUAAGCCCGAACCGGUCGAAGAUACCAGGUGGCUGCAACUGUUUAGUAAAAACACAGCACUCUGCUAACGCGCAAGCGGACGUAUAGGGUGUGACGCCUGCCCGGUGCCGGAAGGUUAAAUGAUGGUGUUAGGAUUCGUCCGAAGCUCUUGAUUGAAGCCCCGGUAAACGGCGGCCGUAACUAUAACGGUCCUAAGGUAGCGAAAUUCCUUGUCGGGUAAGUUCCGACCUGCACGAAUGGCGUAAUGAUGGCCACGCUGUCUCCACCCGAGACUCAGUGAAAUUGAAAUCGCCGUGAAGAUGCGGUGUACCCGCGGCUAGACGGAAAGACCCCGUGAACCUUUACUAUAGCUUCACACUGGACGCUGAUGUUGCCUGUGUAGGAUAGCUGGGAGGCUUUGAAUCUCGGACGCCAGUUCGAGGGGAGCCAACCUUGAAAUACCAGCCUGGCAUCAUUGGCGUUCUCACUCAGGUCCGUUAUCCGGAUCGAGGACAGUGUGUGGUGGGUAGUUUGACUGGGGCGGUCUCCUCCCAAAGAGUAACGGAGGAGCACGAAGGUACCCUCAGCACGGUCGGACAUCGUGCAGUGAGUGCAAGAGCAUAAGGGUGCUUGACUGCGAGACAGACACGUCGAGCAGGUGCGAAAGCAGGUUCUAGUGAUCCGGUGGUUCUGUAUGGAAGGGCCAUCGCUCAACGGAUAAAAGGUACUCCGGGGAUAACAGGCUGAUACCGCCCAAGAGUUCACAUCGACGGCGGUGUUUGGCACCUCGAUGUCGGCUCAUCACAUCCUGGGGCUGAAGUCGGUCCCAAGGGUAUGGCUGUUCGCCAUUUAAAGUGGUACGCGAGCUGGGUUUAGAACGUCGUGAGACAGUUCGGUCCCUAUCUGCCGUGGGCGUUGGAUGUUUGAGAAGGGCUGCUCCUAGUACGAGAGGACCGGAGUGGACGCACCUCUGGUGUUCCGGUUGUCACGCCAGUGGCAUUGCCGGGUAGCUAUGUGCGGACGGGAUAACCGCUGAAAGCAUCUAAGCGGGAAGCCCCCUUCAAGAUGAGACAUCCCUGAGGCCUAGAGCCUCCUGAAGGGCCCAGCGAGACCAGCUGGUUGAUAGGCACGGUGUGGAAGCGCUGCAAGGCGUUGAGCUAACGUGUACUAAUGGCCCGUGAGGCUUGACCCUAUAACACCCAAGGGGU
rnacentral:rRNA from 2 species